CGAAAGCCUGACGGAGCAACGCCGCGUGAGGGAGGAAGGCUCUUGGGUUGUAAACCUCUUUUCUCAAGGAAGAUAAUGACGGUACCUGAGGAAUCAGCAUCGGCUAACUCCGUGCCAGCAGCCGCGGUAAUACGGAGGAUGCAAGCGUUAUCCGGAAUAAUUGGGCGUAAAGCGUUCGUAGGUGGUGAUGUAAGUCUGCUGUUAAAGCGUGUAGCUUAACUACAUAUAGGCGGUGGAAACUACAUGACUAGAGUGCGUUCGGGGCAGAGGGAAUUCCUGGUGUAGCGGUGAAAUGCGUAGAUAUCAGGAAGAACACCGGUGGCGAAGGCGCUCUGCUAGGCCGUAACUGACACUGAGGGACGAAAGCUAGGGGAGCG
rnacentral:rRNA from 1 species